CUCAUCCAGAAGCAGGUUCAGAGCAAGACUGUGGCACAGUGUGUGGAGUACUACUACACCUGGAAGAAAGAACAUAAACUUGCCAAAAGUCUUGCUCAGACUGUGAGCGAACCAAAGAGGAGCCAAAGCCCUCCCAGAAAGGAGAACGGGAAGACAGGGAAGAGAAGCCGCAAGAGGGCCCGCAACGCGGAGUGUCCCUGCUGCCAAGCGCCCCAGCCACCCCAUUCGGCGGGAGGCCCCUUUCCCUGCGGCCAGUGCAAACGGUGCGCAAGUUCUACCUCUUUCUGCUCAAAGCCUGCGCCUUUGGACUGAAACAGGCUGACCGUGUUCAAAGGCACCACAGGGGAAGCUGAGGGCACUCGCAGGACCGCCUCUCACCGCCGUGCAAAGCCUUACAAGCCACUUUCACCCCAAAGAGCUUAGCUAAAGCCCAGCAUUCCCAGGGAAACCUUGCCCUGCCCCACCAAGACACAAUUCGUACACAAGUAGGAAUAGGUAGACCAAAGCUUGCUUUGAUGGUGCUGAUCAAAUCCAAAAGAAGAUGAAGCGAGAGGAGGAAGACAUUUGAAGGAACUGCAACAAGAAAGAUCAGAUUUAUGCUUCUGAUCAAUUUACAGAGGUGCCACAGCCAGAAAAGACAGAAAUUCACGGAGAAAUGGAAAUCUUGGAGCUUGCUUUAAUGGUGUGCAUUGAAUUAACAAUGGCUGCUUUGUUUCCUGUCUUCCAGGGUGUUUGAAACCGUGCAGGAAAGGAACGCACAUAGGAGAAGACAUCGCGCACGGAAGGAAGCAGGGCCUCUCCCCAAGAAGAAAAGAACCAAUUAAGCCUGCCACUUAUCUGGGGCUAACAGAAAUUAUCUGUCAGAUGGUCUAGAUAGAAAUAAGUUUUUUAGGUUUUUUAAGAUUUUUAAGUUUUUAGGAUUAUUCAUUCUUCUGUUUAGUUGACUAGAUAGACAUUUCUCCAUUUGUUACUUAAGAUUCAUUAGCUUUCUUAAAGAUUUAUUAGGAUUAUUAGAUUAUUAUUAUGAUUAGAUUAUUAGGUUAUUAGGAUUAGGUUAUUAUUGUUAGAUUAUUAGAUUCGAUUAUUAGCGACAUUUCCCAAUUUGAUAGUUGAGAUUCAUUAGCUUUCUUAAAGAUUUAUUAGGAUUAUUAGAUUAUUAUGAUGAUUAGAUUAUUUGAUUAUUAGAUUAUUAGGUUAGUAGGUUAUUAUAUUGUUAUUAUUUGAUUAUUAGAUUUGAUUAUUAGCUUAUUAGAUUAUUAUUGUUCGAUUCUUAUCAGUCAAUGUAAGAGGUUUGCUGUUGUUCGUUAAGCUC
rnacentral:lncRNA from 1 species